AUUGAACGCUGGCGGCAGGCCUAACACAUGCAAGUCGAGCGAGCGGCGGACGGGUGAGUAAUGUAUGGGGACUGCCCGAUAGCGGGGGAUAACUACUGGAAACGGUAGCUAAUACCCCAUACUAUCGGAUAACCCAUAUGGGAUUAGCUUGUAGGUGAGGUAAUGGCUCACCUAGGCGACGAUCCCUAGAUGGUCUGAGAGGAUUAUCAGCCACACUGGGACGGAGACACGGCCCAGACUCCUACGGAGGCAGCAGUGGGGAAUAUUGCACAAUGGGCGAAAGCCUGAUGCAGCCAUGCCGCGUGUAUGAAGAAGGCCUUAGGGUUGUAAAGUACGUUCAGUAGGGAGGCGUUACCGACAGAAGAAGCACCGGCUAACUCCGUGCCAGCAGCCGCGGUAAUAC
rnacentral:rRNA from 1 species